UUAUUCAACGGCCGCGGUAUCAUAACCGUGCAAAGGUAGCGUAAUCACUUGUCUCUUAAAUGAAGACCCGUAUGAACGGCUAACUGAGGGUUCAACUGUCCCCUAUAAUCAAUCAAUGAAACUGAUCUUUCAGUACAAAAGCUGAAAUACUCACACAAGACGAAAAGACCCCGUGGAGCUUUAAGCCUACUACUAUAAUACAAACACGCAACUUAUUAAUAGUAUAAACUUUUAGUUGGGGCAACUACGGGGAAAAAAAGAACCCCCACGAAAACCAGGCUAAACCCCACUACAAGGCCUACAAGCCAAACAGGCCCAAUGGUUGACCCAGUACUACUGAUUGCCGAACCAAGUUACCCCGGGGGUAACAGCGCCAUCCCCCUAAAGAGUCCAUAUCGCAAGGGGGGCUUACGACCUCGAUGUUGGAUCAGGACACCCAGGUGGUGCAGCAGCUACCAAGGGUUCGUUUGUUCAACGAUUAAUGUCCUACGUGAUCUG
rnacentral:rRNA from 1 species